GAAGAGGCUGGGGAGGAGCACAGCUUGUGUCGUCCUCCCAGCUUCCCAAAUCCCAACAUCCACACAUGCAGACCUCUCCAGUCCAGCAAGGGGGAGCCUGAUGGGGCUCCCUGUGGAUUUGUUUCUGUGGCCUCUUGGGCACAGCAGCAGCAACAGAAUGGAAGUAGGAGAGACAGGAGGGAGAAGUGUCACACAGGGGCAGCACUAAGGGUGACACACCCCAGCAGCUCCCAGGCUUUGUGGUGUGUCAUAAUCCCAUAUUGUGCAUGUAGGAACCCCCUGUCCAGAGUAUGCCUUUCUCCAAAGGCUUCUCAAGGAAGACUCCUAAGCUAAAGCCAUCUGUAUCUUCCAGCUAAAUUCAGCAAUCAAAUCUCUACCCCUUCUACAGAAAAUAAGAACUGGAAAUAAUCAUCAGACUGGAUAGGCCCAAUAAGAAUUAGCCAAAAUCAUCAGAGAGGAACAGUUCUGUGGUAGAGCAUGAGCUGCAGAAGUGGCACCUGUACCAUCUCUGACCUGCAGCAGCAUCCUCCACACCAGGGAAAUUCUGAAAGCCACACAUGAAGGUGGCACCACUGACUGAUUGCAAAGCCUGAGACUCAAGAAACUGUCUUUUUGUUCCUCUGGUAGUGGUCAGACCAAGAAAUGCUUCAAACACCAAAAUCUAAAUAAGAGCUUUCCCUUCUACAAGCUUUAGCAUUACACCUGAUUUUCCAUCACAGCCUUUGAGUGGCAGCGCUCCUGUCCUCACUGGUGCGCACCUGGGGAACGCAGCGGUCUGUCUGCAGAUCCUGUUCCUGCAGACAGCGCAGUAACAGAGCCCUGCUCGUGCCAGGAAAAUCCACAAACGCCAGAGAUUUAUGUCCAAAGUGGAGACAGAAGAGUCCUGCAACUUUAUUCAAAUAAAGGGAGAGACUCCACUGGCGCACA